rnacentral:rRNA from 1 species
AAUGAACGCUGGCGGCGUGCCUAACACAUGCAAGUCGAACGAGAAACUCCGGGCUUGCUCGGAGCAGUAAAGUGGCGCACGGGUGAGUAACGCGUGGGUAACCUGCCCCAGAAUCUGGGAUAACAUCGCGAAAGCGUUGCUAAUACCGGAUAUCGUCCUUAAAACUGUGGUUUUUGGGAUGAAAGAUGACCUCUCCAUGGAAGUUGUCGUUCAGGGAGGGGCCCGCGUACCAUUAGCUUGUUGGUAGGGUAAUGGCCUACCAAGGCUACGAUGGUUAGCUGGUCUGAGAGGAUGAUCAGCCACACUGGAACUGAAACACGGUCCAGACUCCUACGGGAGGCAGCAGUGAGGAAUUUUGCGCAAUGGGGGAAACCCUGACGCAGCAACGCCGUGUGAGUGAAGAAGGCCUUCGGGUCGUAAAGCUCUGUCAAGGGGGAAAAAAUCCUUUCGAUCAAUAGUCAUUAAGGACUGAUGGUACCCCUAGAGGAAGCACCGGCUAACUCCGUG